rnacentral:rRNA from 1 species
UAAUACGUAGGGAGCAAGCGUUGUCCGGAAUCAUUGGGCGUAAAGCGCGCGUAGGUGGCCUCAUAAGUCCGCUGUGAAAGUCAAAGGCUCAACCUUUGAAAGCCGGUGGAUACUGUGAGGCUAGAGUACGGAAGAGGCGAGUGGAAUUCCUGGUGUAGCGGUGGAAUGCGCAGAUAUCAGGAGGAACACCAAUAGCGAAGGCAGCUCGCUGGGACGU